CGCGUUACAAUUGCGGAAGUUCAUACUUCGUCAAAUCCUACAAUAGUGAAACCAAAACAUUUACACAACGUUACGUGACACUAGUAUUGACAUUUACCUGCGUCACUUCUUUGUUUUCGUUGAGAUUUUUUUUGACAACAAGUGUUUAUGUUAGUGCACUAUUUAUGCUCUCUCCUGGACCAACUAUUUUUUGUUGUUCAAGACAUCUGUCAGCACAAACAUGACUACUGGGACAGGGUGAGGCAGAAUUAUGGAGGAUAUUAUUUGUGUCAGCUCGGGCAGCGACGACGACUCUGAUUUAGAAGUUAUAAGUAGUUACAACGAAGACAAAGAAGAUGCAGUUCCGUUCAUCCGAGCAGAAUGGCUCCAAGUCACACCUGUCCUCAUUGAUAUCACAGGCCAUAACUUCACCCCUCCAAGGCGAAGAUGCUCAAGAAGAGAUACUUGCUCCUCCUUAGAAGUUAUAGAUUUAAGUGAAGAUGAUCCUGCUGAUUAUGGCAACAUCCAGCUUCAGAAUCCAUCACCGACUCUGCCAUCAGUAGAAAGGAAAAACAAGAAAGCGCGUGUAACACUGGCAUCUUUUGGAAAACCUCAAGAAUCACAAUCUCAAACAAGUGGUGGAAAAGAUGUAGCUAAUUCAGGGUGUUUUGUAGGGAGUGUGCAGUCUGUCGUCUCUAAGUCACUCACUCAGGAGAGCGCUCUCACAGACGUGCUUCAAAGAACAGAAAAGCAUUUGCAUCAGAACACAAAUUGUAGUUUAAGCUUGUCGUUUGAGCAUUUGAGCUGGGACAAGUGUUUGGAACGUUGCAGCUCCAAUGAUGUGAGUAAAAAUUCUAUUGCAGAUAUAUCGCAGAACACUAAAGACUCUCAUCUGAGUACACCAGCUGUCUGCAGCACAGACACAGACCAAGGAAACAACCAAGAAGACAAUCUUGACCAGAAAUGGGAAGGCAGUGUUCACUCUUCUUACAGUCUUGACAGUCCAUAUUACUGUCCGAGUGAGGUAGAUGCUUAUGUAUUUUCUGACUCAUCCAAUAAAUCUGAAGAUAAGGAUCACCCGUUUACAACAUAUAACAGUCAACCGUCACCUCAAACCUUUGAGCUUCCUUCUGAUACUCAUACUGCAUCAGUGUCCAAUGCACUUUCUUUAAAUGAUGAUGGUAAAACGAUGAAUAUCUCCAAAAAUGAGGACCUACAUACUCAGGUUCUGCCCGAACCUUCUUCCCCCUCAAUACCUACCUCAUCUAGGGCCUCGCCCCACUGGAGCCCUGAACUUAUAUCUCGACAGAGUAAACCUAACAGUCCCACUUCCACAGAGAUUCUUGCCAGCGACACAGUGGCACUUUCCCCUGAUCUAUCUUCGCUGAGCUCACCAAGUAGUUCAUUCAGCCUCCUCCUCUCGCAGCCCUCCCCGCCAAACUUUUCAGAGAGAACAGAGCUAAGGGGAAAUGAUUUAGAUGCAGGAUCCCCAGAAAGCCCUUCCUUCAGGCUUUGGGAGACAAGCAGCGAUGACAACAAUGAAAAUGUGCUGGAUAAUGCUGUCUCAGGUCUUUCUGAAAACAACUCGCAAGAUAGACAACAUAUUUGUCUGGCUCAGUACAGAAAAUUAAGUCAGUGCAUGGGUGGAAUGGUUCCACAGAUGCAUGACGAUGAGGAGGAAGGUGAACACUAUGGUCCCGCUGAGCCCCUGUGCCGACAGAGCCUUAGUUUGGUUAACAGCACUAUUGAGGAGAAUUACCCCGAGGGCACUCUUCAGCUGCUCUCUGACUUCAUUCAGCCUCGGUAUUACCCACCGGUGGAAAUUACGAAACAUCUGCUCAGGGGGAUCUUCUUGGACCCACAGAGCCCUGAUGUCCUAGCCGUAGAGGCGUAUAACCUUUUGAUGAAGACUCAGAGAUACCACCCUGUGGACGCUUCUACAGUCCCAUGGGAUUGGGAACUGAUGAAGUCGGUUAUGAAUGAUCAGGAUGACACUAGGAAGUUGCGGACGGAGAUCCGGUACAUGCUCCUGCAAUAUGUGUUGCAGGUUUUAGAGGAUGACUUUCAUUUUAAACUCAGGACUCAAUGUCUUCAACACUCCGUUGCAAAGAAGAUGCUUUCAUGUGGCCCUGAAACGUUUGGGCAAGUCAGGGAUCUAAUAAAUUGGAUGAUUAAUGCUGCUAAUGAAUCGGUGAACGACUCAAAAGAUGUGGAACAUCCAAAGAAAGAGGACAACUGUCUUAAGAUUGUAAUAUCUCUUCAGAGGAUGUUAACAUUGGCCGUAGAGGUGGACAAGGACCCCACCUACAAUUCAGACAAACUUUCAGAAGAGCUCUUCAGUUGUCUUAACAGAAUGUGUUCUUGCAGGAAGAUAAGACUCUUAUUGUUGAGUACUCUGGAGAGCAAGCUGCUGAGAUGCAAGUUGUUGAAGCUGCUGCUGGAUGAGGCUUGUUCUCAGAAGACACGCUUGCCCAUGUCUCUAAGCUUGCUGCUACACUACCUUAAGAGCUCCACACUGGCCUCCGAACCCUCAGUAAAAGACGGAGCAGAGAAGUGGAGGAAAUGGGAGGAACUUCUUCAGCUUCUGUGGAUGCUGAUGCUUAGUUACCAAGAAGUGGUGACAGACGACAACAUCUUUGUCAUGUGUUGGCCACCGUAGCUUCUCUAUGUGCUUAAGGGAGGGGUGAGCAGUGGACUGAGCCGUUGGUUGCAAUUCGCAUCCUCAACACUAGAUGCUGAUAAAAUUUACACACUGCACCUUUAAGGUCAUCUACACUGUCCCAUCACAAAGCGCUUUGAUAGGAUGCAUGCUCCGAUUUGGACACGGGAUGAUCAGGUGAAAAGCUCAGCAGUGCAAGAUGCAGCAGAUGCCUUCCUGAUACGAGCAGCGGAUGACAUCGGUCAAGCUCUCCCCAUGGAAAUAGAGGAAUUACUAUGCCAACUACAAGUACACAUAACUGACAUGUCCAGUGUUGCUUCAAGUCAUUAAACCUUUUAAUUGCUUUGUUUGACAUUUUUUAAAAUAAAUUUAUUUUUAAUACA